GCAGAGUUUCAAGAACUGCAAACAACUGUUGUGACAUCUUGCAAUGCGAUCUUCCAGGAGGCCUAUGGGUCGGUUUUCAUCACCACUAUUGUCCUUGGAUUCAGCCCGUCCAUCGAUGGAAACACUACAAUAGAGGUGGAGCUUGUUUUCAAUAACACAGCAUCACCUGAAGUGACCGUUUCAACUGUCGAUGUACUGGAGACCA